AAGCGUGCGAUUGGAUUGCACGUCUAAGCAGUAAGGCUGAGUAUUAGGCAAAUCCGGUACUCGUUAAGGCUGAGCUGUGAUGGGGAGAAGACAUUGUGUCUUCGAGUCGUUGAUUUCACACUGCCGAGAAAAGCCUCUAGAUAGAAAAUAGGUGCCCGUACCGCAAACCGACACAGGUAGUCAAGAUGAGAAUUCUAAGGUGAGCGAGCGAACUCUCGUUAAGGAACUCGGCAAAAUGACCCCGUAACUUCGGGAGAAGGGGUGCUCUUUAGGGUUAACGCCCAGAAGAGCCGCAGUGAAUAGGCCCAAGCGACUGUUUAUCAAAAACACAGGUCUCUGCUAAACCGUAAGGUGAUGUAUAGGGGCUGACGCCUGCCCGGUGCUGGAAGGUUAAGAGGAGUGGUUAGCUUCUGCGAAGCUACGAAUCGAAGCCCCAGUAAACGGCGGCCGUAACUAUAACGGUCCUAAGGUAGCGAAAUUCCUUGUCGGGUAAGUUCCGACCCGCACGAAAGGCGUAACGAUUUGGGCACUGUCUCAACGAGAGACUCGGUGAAAUCAUAGUACCUGUGAAGAUGCAGGUUACCCGCGACAGGACGGAAAGACCCCGUGGAGCUUUACUGUAGCCUGAUAUUGAAAUUCGGCACAGCUUGUACAGGAUAGGUAGGAGCCUUUGAAACGUGAGCGCUAGCUUACGUGGAGGCGCUGGUGGGAUACUACCCUAGCUGUGUUGGCUUUCUAACCCGCACCACUUAUCGUGGUGGGAGACAGUGUCAGGCGGGCAGUUUGACUGGGGCGGUCGCCUCCUAAAAGGUAACGGAGGCGCUCAAAGGUUCCCUCAGAAUGGUUGGAAAUCAUUCAUAGAGUGUAAAGGCAUAAGGGAGCUUGACUGCGAGACCUACAAGUCGAGCAGGGUCGAAAGACGGACUUAGUGAUCCGGUGGUUCCGCAUGGAAGGGCCAUCGCUCAACGGAUAAAAGCUACCCCGGGGAUAACAGGCUUAUCUCCCCCAAGAGUUCACAUCGACGGGGAGGUUUGGCACCUCGAUGUCGGCUCAUCGCAUCCUGGGGCUGUAGUCGGUCCCAAGGGUUGGGCUGUUCGCCCAUUAAAGCGGUACGCGAGCUGGGUUCAGAACGUCGUGAGACAGUUCGGUCCCUAUCCGUCGUGGGCGUAGGAAAUUUGAGAGGAGCUGUCCUUAGUACGAGAGGACCGGGAUGGACAUACCUCUGGUGUACCAGUUGUCGUGCCAACGGCAUAGCUGGGUAGCUAUGUGUGGACGGGAUAAGUGCUGAAAGCAUCUAAGCAUGAAGCCCCCCUCAAGAUGAGAUUUCCCAACUUCGGUUAUAAGAUCCCU
rnacentral:rRNA from 1 species